UACGUAGGGUGCAAGCGUUGUCCGGAAUUAUUGGGCGUAAAGAGCUCGUAGGCGGUCUGUCGCGUCUGCUGUGAAAACUCAGGGCUUAACCCUGAGCUUGCAGUGGGUACGGGCAGACUAGAGUGCGGUAGGGGAGACUGGAAUUCCGUGGUGUAGCGGUGAAAUGCGCAGAUAUCAGGAGGAACACCGGUGGCGAAGGCGGGUCACUGGGCUGACCUUGACGCUGGAGGC
rnacentral:rRNA from 1 species